CUUUUCAGAAAUGCAAAAAAUGACACACGAGAAGCAAGAAAGUCGAAAAGUUGUAAAAGGGAACGUAACAGCUCGACCAACAAUUGUAUCACAACUGAUUAUUCUUCCUUCCACGAGCAAUGAUGACACUAAUGUAUUAAAUAUAAUACAAAAUAAAGAAAAUAUUGAAAAUAAUUCAAUGACAUUGGAGCAUUCAUUUUGUUGUGAAAAAUGCCGCAAAAAUUACUUGGUCAAAUUUGUGACAA